rnacentral:rRNA from 1 species
CGGGNUCUUGACAUCGGAUGCAUAACUAAGAGAUUAGUGAAGUCCUUCGGGACAUCCAGACAGGUGGUGCAUGGUUGUCGUCAGCUCGUGUCGUGAGAUGUUGGGUUAAGUCCCGCAACGAGCGCAACCCUUAUAAUUAGUUGCUACGCAAGAGCACUCUAAUUAGACUGCCGUUGACAAAACGGAGGAAGGUGGGGAUGACGUCAAAUCAUCAUGCCCUUUAUGACCCGGGCUACACACGUACUACAAUGGUGUUUAACAAAGAGAAGCAAAGCCGCGAGGUAGAGCAAAUCUCAAAAAAACAUCUCAGUUCAGACUGCAGGCUGCAACUCGCCUGCACGAAGUCGGAAUUGCUAGUAAUCGUAGGUCAGCAUACUACGGUGAAUACGUUCCC